AUGAACAAGGUCAUGUCAAGCGUCGCAAACCUUGCUCAGCUCCUGCCCACCGGCACGGUGCUGACAUACCAGGCGUUGGCCCCAUCCUUCACCAACCACGGCAAGUGCGAGACCUCCAACCAGUGGCUUACCACGGCGCUGGUUGGUGUCCUCGCCUUGGCCUGCCUCUUCUUCUCCUUCACCAACAGCGUCGUGGGUCGCCGCGAUGGAAAGCUAUAUUACGGCUUCGCCACAUUACGUGGCUUCAACGUGUUCAACUUCUCCAGCGAUGAGGAGAAGCAGGAGUGGAACGAUCUCGACCAAUUUCGGAGGCUCCGCCUCCAGCUGCUGGACUUCGUCCACGCCUUCUUCACGGCGGUGGUUUUCCUCGUAAUGGCGUUCAGCGAUGUGGGGCUGCAAAAGUGCUUCUUCCCGGAUGGCGGCAGGAACACACAACAGCUACUCAAGAACCUGCCAUUGGGAAUGGCGUUUCUGUCCAGCUUUGUGUUCAUCAUCUUCCCCACCAAAAGGAAGGGCAUCGGAUUCAAUGACACGACUCCUCGCCAAAAGGUCGUCCAUCCCUUGAACAAAGUUUGA
rnacentral:rRNA from 1 species